rnacentral:rRNA from 1 species
AUUGAACGCUGGCGGCAUGCCUAACACAUGCAAGUCGAACGGCAGCACGGCAGUAGCAAUACUGUGGGUGGCGAGUGGCGGACGGGUGAGGAAUACGUCGGAAUCUGCCCCAGUCGUGGGGGAGUAACUAGCCGAAAGGUUAAGCUAAUACCCCACUACGACCGAGAGGUGAAAGACGGGGGACCGGCAAGGCCUCGCGCGAUUGGAUGAGCCGACGUCGGAUUAGCUAGUUGGUGGGGUAAAGGGACCCACCCAAGGCGACGAUCCGUAGCUGGUCUGAGAGGAUGAUCAGCCACACUGGAACUGAGACACGGUCCAGACUCCU